rnacentral:rRNA from 1 species
GACGAACGCUGGCGGCGUGCCCAACACAUGCAAGUCGAACGGGGUAAUUACUUCGGUGAUUACUUAGUGGCGAACGGGUGAGUAACGCGUGAGAAACCUGCCUUUCAGUGGGGGACAACAGUUGGAAACGACUGCUAAUACCGCAUAAUGUUAUUUGAGGGCAUCCUCGAAUAACCAAAGCUUAAUGUGCUGAAAGAUGGUCUCGCGUCUGAUUAGCUAGAUGGCGGGGUAACGGCCCACCAUGGCGACGAUCAGUAGCCGGUCUGAGCGGAUGAACGGCCACAUUGGGACUGAGAUACGGACCAGACACCUACGGGAGGCAGCAGGGGGGAAUAUUGGGCAAUGGGGAAAACCCUGACCCAGCAACGCCGCGUGAAGGAAGGAGGCCUUCGGGUUGUAAACUUCUUUUACCAGGGACGAAGAACGUGACGGUACCUGGAGAAAAAGCAACGGCUAACUACGUGCCAGCCGCCGCGGUAAAAC